AUUCUUAGGAUUAGGUUCGAUUCCUAUAAUUCUAG
rnacentral:tRNA from 1 species